UUUGCACUUCAGGUUCUCUCGCCUCAAAGUCAGGGGGUUUACUAACAAUGUUUAUUCACAGAGAAAAUCAAAAAGUUUACUCGGGAUAACAGUGCGUGUCAUUUGGCUGACUUCCCUCAUCGACCAAUGAGACUAAACCUGAAACGAACAGACCUCUGGAAUAUUACUUUACCUGUGAACAUUUGUGUGAGUCGUCGUCAGAAGUUAAGAAAAGGUCAUAAAAGGGGUGGUGUGCAUUUGUGACGAUCAUCUUGCUGAACGAAACAUCGACGCCGAAUGCUAAUUUUCUGGAGGGAAAAGGUAAAGAACUCGGAGCCUGACCUGCCCCUGCAUGUGAAGGGGGGGAAGCGCGCCGCAGCCCCAUCACACCACAGGCAAUUUUUGAAAUUUCAUCACUUCUCAGACUGCACAAGAGGCAAACACUGAGCUCCACCAAGUGGAGAAGAUGAGAAAUGUGCAAAAAGGAAAGAAAUCAUCCACAAGCCACAUGUGUCGACAAAAUGUUACUUCCUGACAUGAUUUUAUUUUGUUUGUUGUUGUUGGUUUGUUUGUUGUUGUCGUCUUGCAUCGCCAAGUCAAUGCCAAGACAUCCCCGCAAGAAAACAUGAACACAGUACAUGUCAAAUGUUACAUUAUAUCACAGGGUAUAAAUGGAAAAAUAAAAGUCUGAUCAUUCUCAUGCAUUUGUGAAAGUAAAAU